UAUGAAUUUAAGACUAAGUCCUAAAAAAUUGCAGGCAAACUAUCAAAAUUAUUUUCUAAGCCUUCAUUUAAAUCCUAAAUUGUGUCCCAGAGACAAAUCCUCAUUUAGAGUCUAAAGAGGAAAUUUUGAACCCAGAAGCCAAGAAUAAAAAUCGCAAGCAUAGUAUUAGAUUCUAAACGAAGGAGAUGCCUUUUUUCUAUUACUUCAUAAUAAACAAAGUAACAGGGUUAUCAUAGCAAAGCAACAUAAUAAAGCAAGUAACAGGGUAUCAUAGCACUUUGAACAUCUGUCUAAUCCCCAUAAAUUAAUCACAGCUUUGACAACAGAAUUUGAAACUAAUAGGAAAGACAGACUAGUAACAAACUCUAAACAAAGCAUUAAAAUAAUUUAAAAUAAAUACACUGUAACAAUUAAAAUUUUUUUAAGUUUGGUUUCGUUAAAGCAGACAUGACACAACUUUAGAACUGCAUCAACUCUCCUAUCACUUGAAAAACAAGCUCAAAUAUAAAAGCUUACUUGUUCAGACAUAGCUAAAACAGCACAUGAUACUGUUUAAUUUUCUUAAACUUACGUAUAUUUUUAUACAAAACAUGCUUUAAAAUGAUCACUUCUAAAUUAAUUGUCAUUUUUUAUACUAAUUUCUUCACAAAGCAAGACCUAAUUGUAUUGUGUA
rnacentral:lncRNA from 1 species